AUUGAACGCUGGCGGCAGGCCUAACACAUGCAAGUCGAACGAGUGGCGGACGGGUGAGUAAUGUCUGGGAAACUGCCUGAUGGAGGGGGAUCACUACUGGAAACGGUAGCUAAUACCGCAUACCAUCGGAUGUGCCCAGAUGGGAUUAGCUAGUAGGUGGGGUAACGGCUCACCUAGGCGACGAUCCCUAGCUGGUCUGAGAGGAUGGCCAGCCACACUGGAACUGAGACACGGGACAAACUCCUACGGGAGGCAGCAGUGGGGAAUAUUGCACAAUGGGCGCAAGCCUGAUGCAGCCAUGCCGCGUGGAUGAAGAAGGCCGUCGGGUUGUAAAGUACUUUCAGCGAGGAGGCGUUACUCGCAGAAGAAGCACCGGCUAACUCCGUGCCAGCAGCCGCGGUAAUAC
rnacentral:rRNA from 1 species